UGGCGGUGCUCACAGUUCAGGAUGUGUGGGUCCACGAGGAUGAAGCCAUCACACUGCACUGCAACGUGCCCUUCGCCGUCCCUCCCGAGCUGCAGGUUACGUGGAUGUUUGCCAAGGAUAUACGCACGCAGGACCUGGCGCUGUUUGAGGAGCUGCAAAGGAGGGGCAUUGGGGAACCGCCCAGCCUGACCGUGCAGGACCCCACUCUGGGAACCAUCGCCUGUCGCCUGGGGGCCGCCUCUGAGACCCUGGCCCGCAAGUACUUCUACCUCAACGUUUCUCCAGAAUCGCCACAGUCCCUCUAGAGCCCUGCUUACAGGUGACUCAGUUGUCCUCACGACCUCAAGGCCCCAUACUUUCACCCUUAGAUCCUUCGGUUGCUUCCAGGACCCACAGGUGCCCCACAGCCCUCUUCCCUCACCUCCAACAGAUGGGGAUAUGAGGUCUCCUUUCCCCUCCUGCUCUCUCUCCAUCCUUCUCACCUCCUCCUAGGACCUCCUGGCGAUGCUGCCGAAAAUCUCUGGAGCCUCCCAGACCCCAGUGACUCCCAGGCACCCCAUGGACCUGGACACCAGGGCCCCAAAGGGAGUGUGGAUUCAUGUGGACUUACACUAGCAUCUUUCCCUGAGGGUCAAAGCAUGAGCAGUUGCUCAUCGUGCGUUGUCCGUGGGGUGUAGCGGAGACUCCUAGGUCCUUCUCCUGACUCUUUGCCUGUAUGGACUGGGGGAGAAUUUGUCUUUGCUUUUGUUACAAAUUAUAAUCAUAGUGUCUUACUUAUUUCUGGGAGAGAGAACAUAUGGCUGUUGCAGCCUGUGCUCAUCCUACAGAAUUAAACUGUUUUCAGAACCAGCACAGACAUGUGAAAACGUCUUUCAUCUGCUGCCAGCAUUAGCCAGGAGCAGACCUGUGGCUCCUGUUUCAAUAAGAAAUCAGAGAGGAAUAUUUUCAAUGAAACAAAUGGGGAAUUAAAGACAAAACUAGAGUUCAUCUGGAGGGCAAGCGAGGAAGACCACUGGAUGAAAUAAAAGAGUGUUAAUUGGACUGUCA
rnacentral:lncRNA from 1 species